AUUCUAAGCAAACAGAUCUUUCAACAAAAGAUUUCUGAAGCCACCAUAGGUAACAUACAGCUGCCCAUGCCUCCCUCUUUGUAGAAGAGUUUCCGGGAGAAGCCUCGGGAGGGCUAAUCAAGAUAUUAAAUUUACUCACAGACAACCUGUGUCAAUGCCUGGUAGCAAGUUGGGUGUUCAAUGGAAAUGAAAGAUUAGAAGACCAUUUAGAUGGCUUGGUGGGCAGAGUGCUCACCAACAAGUCUGAGGAACUGAUACCCAGAAUCCACCUGGUGUAAAGACAAAAAUGACCUCCUGAAAGAUGCCUUCUGACCUCUGCACGGAUGCUAUGGCCCAGUCCACACCUGGAACCUGAAGCAGACAACGGUAAGGGAUUACAGCAUUAAUAAAAUGGACAACGGAGACUCGAAGAAUACAAAACAAUAGCCAGAAGAGUGCCAGUGCAGGAGGAGAGAAGGCAUGAGUUUUAUCUGUGUGCAAUGCUAAGAAUGCUAUCGGGAUGUUAUUUGGAGAGACAGAGCAAUGCCACUGAGGAGAACAUAUUCGACAGUACUUGACUCACAUACGAGGUUGAAAGACACAGGGCAGAUAUGAAAAAUGGGGAGAAGAGAAGAAAA